rnacentral:tRNA from 1 species
GAGGGUAAGAGCUCAGUGGUAGAGCAGGUGCUUAGCAUGUAUGAAGUCCUGGGGUUCAAUACCCAGUACCUCCA